rnacentral:rRNA from 1 species
GAUGAACGCUGGCGGCGUGCCUAAUACAUGCAAGUCGAGCGAACAGACGCGGAGCUUGCUCCUCGGACGUUAGCGGAGGGCGGGUGUGUAACGCGUGGAUAACGUACCUGUAAGACUGGGAUAACUACGGGAAACCGGCGCUAAUACCGGAUAAUAUAUUGAACCGCAUGGGUCGAUAGUGAAAGACGGUUUUGCGGUCUCGUAUAGCUGGAUCUGCGCCGCAUUGGCUAGUUGGUAAGGUAACGGCUUACGAAGGCAAGGAUGCGUAGCCGAGCUGAGAGGGUGAUCGGCCACACUGGAACUGGGACACGGUCCAGACGCCUACGGGAGGCAGCAGUAGGGAAUCUGCCGCAAUGGGCGAAAGCCUGACGGAGCAACGCCGCGUGAGUGAUGAAGGUCUUCGGAUCGUAAAACUCUGUUAUUAGGGAAGAACAAAUGUGUAAGUAACUAUGCACGUCUUGACGGUACCUAAUCAGAAAGCCACGGCUAACUACGUG